rnacentral:rRNA from 1 species
AUACGUAGGUGGCGAGCGUUGUCCGGAAUUACUGGGCGUAAAGGAUGCGUAGGUGGAUACUUAAGUGGGAUGUGAAAUCCCCGGGCUCAACCCGGGAACUGCAUUCCAAACUGGGUAUCUAGAGUGCAGGAGAGGAAAGCGGAAUUCCUAGUGUAGCGGUGAAAUGCGUAGAUAUUAGGAGGAACACCAGUGGCGAAGGCGGCUUUCUGGACUGUAACUGACACUGAGGCAUGAAAGCGUGGGUAGCAAACAGGAUUAGAUCCCCUGGUAGUCCACGCCGUAAACGAUGGGUACUAGGUGUAGGAGGUAUCGACCCCUUCUGUGCCGUCGUUAACACAAUAAGUACCCCGCCUGGGGAGUACGGUCGCAAGACUAAAACUCAAAUGAAUUGACGGGG